UCCGGGUUGGACCCGGCGGUCCCGCCAGACGUCGUAACUGGCGGCGGGGGUUGCGCUCGUUGCGGGACUUAACCCAACACCUCACGGCACGAGCUGACGACAGCCAUGCAGCAUCUGUGCCGGCUCCCUCGCGGGUCCUCGCCCUUUCGGGUCCGUACCACCGGCAUGUCAAGCCCAGGUAAGGUUCUUCGCGUUGCGUCGAAUUAAACCACACGCUCCGCUGCUUGUGCGGGCCCCCGUCAAUUCCUUUGAGUAUUAGCCUUGCGGCCGUACUCCCCAGGCGGCGGACUUACCGCGUUGGCUGCGGCACCGGGGGGGUCGAUACCCCCGACACCUAGUCCGCAUCGUUUACGGCGUGGACUAC
rnacentral:misc_RNA from 1 species